AUGUUCUCCUGUUGUAUGCCCGUGUCCCGCGGCUGCCGGCUCGGGGGAGCCCGUGGCCGCGACGCUUCCCGACCCUGGAGACAGUGGGUCAGGUUGUGCACAGGACGCCUCAGGUCUCUAGCUCGCAGGGACCCAAAGAAAUCAACCGAUGAAAUCGGGAAACGAUUGGCGGAAUCUGGAUUCACCCGCCCUACAGAGUUGUGCAUGUGCCCCGUCACCCAGGAGGGCCACCCUGGACCCAGAGAGAGAGUGGCCACACGCAGGUCUCAGGAAGCAGGGCCUGGAGUUGGCCUGGGAAGGCCUCCUUCACCGCCCUGGCCCCUCCACAGGGUCCUGGUUCACCGGUCCUGGGAUGAGGACCCGGAGCCCCCGGAGCCAGAGCCCGAGGAGUCCGGGGCAGGAGCGGAAGCCGGUGUGGCUCCAGAGCCCGACCCAAGGGCAUCGGGGUCCUCGGAGUCUCUGCACUCAGGGGUGGAGUCUGGGGCGACUCCUGCAGGGGCCUGGGAGCCAGCAAGUGACCUGGGACCUGUGCAGGGACAGCAGGCAACUGAGCAGAGUCAGCUGGGUCCUGCUUCUGCUCCCGCUUCUCCUGGUUCCACUGUUCCUGCUUCUGAUCCCAACACUGCUCCUGCCAUCGCCCUUCUCCCCGCCCCUGCCACUGCCCUUGAUCCCACAUGGAUGGCGGCCAAAAAUCAAGGGCUUGAAGACCUAUACAGGGUGCUUUUUUUAUCUUAUUUUAUUUUUUGUUUAUUAUAUUUUAUUUCAAAUUCAUUCUCCAAUCCCUGACCCCGACCCCCCACCAAAAUGUCUCUUCCUCUUCUCCCUUAUCCUUUUUCUCUUCGAUUUUUUAGCUGUUAUGGUAUUCGUUCAUUAGUUAUAAUCUAUAUUAAUCUUCAAUAAAAUGUUUUAUUUAUUUUACGUUGUGCA
rnacentral:lncRNA from 1 species